UUAAGUUAUUAAGGGCGCACGGUGGAUGCCUUGGCACUAGAAGCCGAUGAAGGACGUUACUAACGACGAUAUGCUUUGGGGAGCUGUAAGUAAGCUUUGAUCCAGAGAUUUCCGAAUGGGGAAACCCAGCAUGAGUUAUGUCAUGUUAUCGAUAUGUGAAUACAUAGCAUAUCAGAAGGCACACCCGGAGAACUGAAACAUCUUAGUACCCGGAGGAAGAGAAAGAAAAUUCGAUUCCCUUAGUAGCGGCGAGCGAAACGGGAAGAGCCCAAACCAAAAAGCUUGCUUGUUGGGGUUGUAGGACACUCUAUACGGAGUUACAAAGGACGACAUUAGACGAAUCAUCUGGAAAGAUGAAUCAAAGAAGGUAAUAAUCCUGUAGUCGAAAAUGUUGUCUCUCUUGAGUGGAUCCUGAGUACGACGGAGCACGUGAAAUUCCGUCGGAAUCUGGGAGGACCAUCUCCUAAGGCUAAAUACUCUCUAGUGACCGAUAGUGAACCAGUACCGUGAGGGAAAGGUGAAAAGCACCCCGGAAGGGGAGUGAAAUAGAACCUGAAACCGUGUGCUUACAAGUAGUCAGAGCCCGUUAAUGGGUGAUGGCGUGCCUUUUGUAGAAUGAACCGGCGAGUUACGAUUUGAUGCAAGGUUAAGCAGUAAAUGUGGAGCCGUAGCGAAAGCGAGUCUGAAUAGGGCGUUUAGUAUUUGGUCGUAGACCCGAAACCAGGUGAUCUACCCUUGGUCAGGUUGAAGUUCAGGUAACACUGAAUGGAGGACCGAACCGACUUACGUUGAAAAGUGAGCGGAUGAACUGAGGGUAGCGGAGAAAUUCCAAUCGAACCUGGAGAUAGCUGGUUCUCUCCGAAAUAGCUUUAGGGCUAGCCUCAAGUGAUGAUUAUUGGAGGUAGAGCACUGUUUGGACGAGGGGCCCCUCUCGGGUUACCGAAUUCAGACAAACUCCGAAUGCCAAUUAAUUUAACUUGGGAGUCAGAACAUGGGUGAUAAGGUCCGUGUUCGAAAGGGAAACAGCCCAGACCACCAGCUAAGGUCCCAAAAUAUAUGUUAAGUGGAAAAGGAUGUGGCGUUGCCCAGACAACUAGGAUGUUGGCUUAGAAGCAGCCAUCAUUUAAAGAGUGCGUAAUAGCUCACUAGUCGAGUGACACUGCGCCGAAAAUGUACCGGGGCUAAACAUAUUACCGAAGCUGUGGAUUGUCCUUUGGACAAUGGUAGGAGAGCGUUCUAAGGGCGUUGAAGCAUGAUCGUAAGGACAUGUGGAGCGCUUAGAAGUGAGAAUGCCGGUGUGAGUAGCGAAAGACGGGUGAGAAUCCCGUCCACCGAUUGACUAAGGUUUCCAGAGGAAGGCUCGUCCGCUCUGGGUUAGUCGGGUCCUAAGCUGAGGCCGACAGGCGUAGGCGAUGGAUAACAGGUUGAUAUUCCUGUACCACCUAUAAUCGUUUUAAUCGAUGGGGGGGGACGCAGUAGGAUAGGCGAAGCGUGCGAUUGGAUUGCACGUCUAAGCAGUAAGGCUGAGUAUUAGGCAAAUCCGGUACUCGUUAAGGCUGAGCUGUGAUGGGGAGAAGACAUUGAGUCUUCGAGUCGUUGAUUUCACACUGCCGAGAAAAGCCUCUAGAUAGAAAAUAGGUGCCCGUACCGCAAACCGACACAGGUAGUCAAGAUGAGAAUUCUAAGGUGAGCGAGCGAACUCUCGUUAAGGAACUCGGCAAAAUGACCCCGUAACUUCGGGAGAAGGGGUGCUCUUUAGGGUUAACGCCCAGAAGAGCCGCAGUGAAUAGGCCCAAGCGACUGUUUAUCAAAAACACAGGUCUCUGCUAAACCGUAAGGUGAUGUAUAGGGGCUGACGCCUGCCCGGUGCUGGAAGGUUAAGAGGAGUGGUUAGCUUCUGCGAAGCUACGAAUCGAAGCCCCAGUAAACGGCGGCCGUAACUAUAACGGUCCUAAGGUAGCGAAAUUCCUUGUCGGGUAAGUUCCGACCCGCACGAAAGGCGUAACGAUUUGGGCACUGUCUCAACGAGAGACUCGGUGAAAUCAUAGUACCUGUGAAGAUGCAGGUUACCCGCGACAGGACGGAAAGACCCCGUGGAGCUUUACUGUAGCCUGAUAUUGAAAUUCGGCACAGCUUGUACAGGAUAGGUAGGAGCCUUUGAAACGUGAGCGCUAGCUUACGUGGAGGCGCUGGUGGGAUACUACCCUAGCUGUGUUGGCUUUCUAACCCGCACCACUUAUCGUGGUGGGAGACAGUGUCAGGCGGGCAGUUUGACUGGGGCGGUCGCCUCCUAAAAAGGUAACGGAGGCGCUCAAAGGUUCCCUCAGAAUGGUUGGAAAUCAUUCAUAGAGUGUAAAGGCAUAAGGGAGCUUGACUGCGAGACCUACAAGUCGAGCAGGGUCGAAAGACGGACUUAGUGAUCCGGUGGUUCCGCAUGGAAGGGCCAUCGCUCAACGGAUAAAAGCUACCCCGGGGAUAACAGGCUUAUCUCCCCAAGAGUUCACAUCGACGGGGAGGUUUGGCACCUCGAUGUCGGCUCAUCGCAUCCUGGGGCUGUAGUCGGUCCCAAGGGUUGGGCUGUUCGCCCAUUAAAGCGGUACGCGAGCUGGGUUCAGAACGUCGUGAGACAGUUCGGUCCCUAUCCGUCGUGGGCGUAGGAAAUUUGAGAGGAGCUGUCCUUAGUACGAGAGGACCGGGAUGGACAUACCUCUGGUGUACCAGUUGUCGUGCCAACGGCAUAGCUGGGUAGCUAUGUGUGGACGGGAUAAGUGCUGAAAGCAUCUAAGCAUGAAGCCCCCCCUCAAGAUGAGAUUUCCCAACUUCGGUUAUAAGAUCCCUCAAAGAUGAUGAGGUUAAUAGGUUCGAGGUGGAAGCAUGGUGACAUGUGGAGCUGACGAAUACUAAUCGAUCGAAGACUUAAUC
rnacentral:rRNA from 1 species